CUCCUACGGGAGGCAGCAGUGGGGAAUAUUGGGCAAUGGGGGAAACCCUGACCCAGCAACGCCGCGUGAAGGAAGAAGGCCUUCGGGUUGUAAACUUCUUUUACCAGGGACGAAGAACGUGA
rnacentral:rRNA from 1 species